CUUGUUUUCAGAUCAUUCUGGUCUUGACUAUCUUCAAUGUACCAGUUACUUGGUUUUUUGACCAGGGUUCUUCACGACUAUAUAGAAGCGAGGACUCUGGGAAAACCUUUGAAGAUAUCUCCAAUGUCAUCAAGAACACCUACAUACGGAAAGAAUUUGGAAUCAAUGUGGGGCCAAGUAAUUCACAAAGGGUAAUUCUCACCGCUGAUGUAGCAUUGACUCGUGAGGAAGGAGGCCGAAUAUUUACAUCGCUUGAUUCUGGGAAAUCAUUUGAUUUUGUAGAUCUUCCUUUCCAUCCUGGCCAGCCAAUUGUCUACCACUCUUCAAACCCAGACUAUCUGCUUGUCUCCAGCAUAGACGUGAGUGGGGAAAAUACA